rnacentral:rRNA from 1 species
AUUGAACGCUGGCGGCAUGCCUAACACAUGCAAGUCGAACGGUAACGCGGAGAGCUUGCUCUCUGGCGACGAGUGGCGGACGGGUGAGUAACACUUAGGAAUCUGCCCAGUAGUGGGGGACAACAUUCGGAAACGGAUGCUAAUACCGCAUACGCACUACGGUGGAAAGUGGGGGAUCUUCGGACCUCACGCUAUUGGAUGAGCCUAAGUCGGAUUAGCUUGUUGGUGAGGUAAUAGCUCACCAAGGCGACGAUCCGUAGCUGGUCUGAGAGGACGAUCAGCCACACUGGGACUGAGACACGGCCCAGACUCCUACGGGAGGCAGCAGUGGGGAAUAUUGGACAAUGGGGGCAACCCUGAUCCAGCAAUGCCGCGUGUGUGAAGAAGGCCUGCGGGUUGUAAAGCACUUUCAGUAGAGAAGAAAUGUCUGGGGUUAAUACCCCCGGGUCUUGACGUAACCUACAGAAGAAGCACCGGCUAACUCCGUG